rnacentral:rRNA from 1 species
UACGGAGGAGGCAGGCGUUAUCCGGAAUUAUUGGGCGUAAAGCGUCCGCAGGUGGCACUUCAAGUCUGUCGUCAAAGACUGGGGCUUAACCCUGGAAAGGCGGUGGAAACUGAAGCGCUAGAGUGCGGUAGGGGUAGAGGGAAUUCCCGGUGUAGCGGUGAAAUGCGUAGAGAUCGGGAAGAACAUCGGUGGCGAAAGCGCUCUACUGGACCGCAACUGACACUCAGGGACGAAAGCUAGGGGAGCGAAUGGG